rnacentral:misc_RNA from 1 species
UUGACUCUCUCCCACGCGCCCGACUCCACCACCGGCCGCCCCUCACUCCGCCGCCACGCCCUGCCGCCGCCCCUAGGCUCUGGCCGCACCGCUGCUGGCUGCGCCCACGCGUCGCGUCUGUCGCUCGCCCGUCCGGCCACGUCCCCACGCGUCGCCCCGUCCCGACCGUCCGCGCCGCCCGUGGCCGCCGCCGCCCGGGGGGCUCGCGCGCCAGAGCCGACGCCGCCGCCCGUGGCCAGCGCCGCGGUGGACGCCGCCGCCUCCCCGCCCCUGGCCAGCGCCGCCCGUGGCCGCCGGGACCUCCCCGCCGUCGUCCACAGCCUCCGCGGCCGUUGCCCGAGGCCGCAGCGGCCCGCCGCCGCGUUACCCGAGGACGCAGCCGUCCCCGAGCCCGAGGCCGUCGUCGAGUCUUGUCACGUGAGCGCGCGCACGUGGCCGUUCGCACGGGGCCGAACGCGGCCGCACGUGAGCGCGCGCACGCAGCUUCACACCGGUCGCCAGCCGUCACUCCUGUGGGCAAUUCAGCAAAUAGCACUAGGGCAACGUCCAGAUUUUUCAGCGAUGACUAUGCCACCUCCUCCACCUAUCCCGCAGUUUGUACCGACUCCACAAUUUAGUUGGCCCACACCUGCACCUCAGGUCCCUCCAGGAAACUUGCUAACUCCGGGAAAUGAGGACUCUGAAGAUGUGGUCGCUUCUUUUGUGGACGGUCUUCUAAACAGUGGAGGAGCUAGCGGAUCAAAUCAACCACAUCCAUUUGAUCAACCUCCUCCAUUUGAGUAG